GACGAACGCUGGCGGCGUGCUUAACACAUGCAAGUCGAACGAAGGGGCGAACGGGUGAGUAACGAGUAAUAAACAUGCCCAUCAGAGGGGGACAACAGUUGGAAACGACUGCUAAUACCGCAUACGGAAGGAGGGGUUUGCGUCUGAUUAGCUAGUUGAAGGGGCAACGGCCAACCAGGGCGAUGAUCAGUGGCCGGUCUGAGAGGAUGAACGGCCACAUUGGUACUGAGACACGGCCCAGACUCCUACGAGAGGCAGCAGUGGAGAAUCUUCCGCAAUGGCCGAAAGUCUGACGGAGCAACGCCCCUUGAGUGAUGACGGCCUUCGGGUUGUAAAGCUCUGUUAAUCGGGACGCGGUACCGGAAUCGAACGCCACGGCUAACUACGUGCCAGCGGCCGCGGUAAUAC
rnacentral:rRNA from 1 species